CGUUUUCUGCGGCAACCGACUUCCUUAGGAAUCCUUUCUGCGACGGCUGGAGGCUCUAGGGGUCACAAAGAGGGACCCAUAGACGAAUACCCCGCAGGUGAAACUUAAAGAAGUCACAUUUUGUCUUCCGUGUUGGCCCAUUUCCUCAGCCAAAAAAAUUAAAUUUUAAUAGUUCGACCAUUUGUAAAAAAGUAUGAUUAUCUAAAAAAAAAUUAAUAAAAAAAGUAAUGGCGUCUGGACCGUGCGAAUCGAAUUGUGCAUGACGGCACUUUGCUUUGUUGUCAUUAAUUAUAAUUGACUUUCAUUGAGCGCCUUCUCUGUGCCAGGAAUUAUGCUAAAGGCUGUUUACAUACAUUAGCUUAUUCAGUUUACAAAAUUCCUACUAAGUACGCGCCGACGCACUGCAAAAUGACGACUACUGAUCGGGGAGGAGCUCGGUUGAGAACGGCGCUGCGGCCCGGUGAAGCCUAGGGGCCGCUGGGGGCGUGCCGUGAGGGCCAAGGCUGUAAUCUCUGGAGCCCUUCUGUGAUGCCAGAUACCGAAGCAUAUGCUAUAUGACGGGUAGUGGCAAGAGGCAAUCCUUGAAUUCUAUGGGAGACUGGAGAACAUGACCAGGAAAUAAAUGUAAUGAUUGAUUUAUGCUUUCUUUAUAAACAACUCACCCUAAAAAUGUUGUGUGACAUAGGUGGUUGAAGAGAUUUGGAAUGUCUCACAAAGUGGCUGACUUAUGCUAAGAAAAUUGUGCAGUUGUGUUGGGACCAGUCUCAAGAAUGGUUUGAGAUUUCUGCGUGGGAUUAAAAAGCAGAGCAAAAAAGAGGAAUUUGACAGCCUGACCUACUCUGACCAGUUGUUGCAAAUACCUGGUGUACUUGAAAGAUGUUCACUUCCUUAGUCUUCCAUGGCUUGAUGAACUUAACCAACUCUGACAUUCAUCCAGCUUUGUUUGUUGUAAAUCAUUGCUGACUGAACAAAUGUUGGAGUAUUAAAAAAAAAAUCUUUUUGAAAUA